GGUCUGACCUGCCCUAUGAUGAGAAUUAAAUGGCCGCGAUAAUUUGAUCGUGCAAAGGUAGCAUAAUAAUUAGUUUCUUAAUUAGGAACUGGUAUGAAAGGUCGAACGAGAAAAAAACUGUCUCAAUUUAAUUUUAAUUAGAAUUUUAUUUUUAAGUUAAAAAGCUUAAAUAAUUUUAAAAGACGAGAAGACCCUAUAGAGUUUUAUAUUUAUUUUUUUAUUUUUUAUUUAAGAAUUUUUAUAAAAGAUUAAAUUAUAAAUAUUUAGUUGGGGUGAUUGAAAAAUUUAAUAAACUUUUUUUAUUUAUUAAACAUUAAUAAAUGAAUAUAUGAUCCAUAAUUUAUGAUUAAAAGAUUAAAUUACCUUAGGGAUAACAGCGUAAUUUUUUUUGAGAGUUCUUAUCGAAAAAAAAGUUUGCGACCUCGAUGUUGGGAUUAAAA
rnacentral:rRNA from 1 species